GAUGAACGCUGGCGGCGUGCCUAAUACAUGCAAGUAGAACGCUGAAGGAAGGAGCUUGCUCUUUCCGGAUGAGUUGCGAACGGGUGAGUAACGCGUAGGUAACCUGCCUGGUAGCGGGGGAUAACUAUUGGAAACGAUAGCUAAUACCGCAUAACAGUAGAUGUUGCAUGAUAUCUACUUAAAAGGUGCAAUUGCACCACUACCAGAUGGACCUGCGUUGUAUUAGCUAGUUGGUGAGGUAACGGCUCACCAAGGCGACGAUACAUAGCCGACCUGAGAGGGUGAUCGGCCACACUGGGACUGAGACACGGCCCAGACUCCUACGGGAGGCAGCAGUAGGGAAUCUUCGGCAAUGGACGGAAGUCUGACCGAGCAACGCCGCGUGAGUGAAGAAGGUUUUCGAAUCGUAAAGCUCUGUUGUAAGAGAAGAACGAGUGUGAGAGUGGAAAGUUCACACUGUGACGGUAUCUUACCAGAAAGGGACGGCUAACUACGU
rnacentral:rRNA from 1 species